UACGUAGGUGGCAAGCGUUGUCCGGAUUUACUGGGCGUAAAGAGCGCGCAGGCGGUCGGAUUAGUCGCGUGUGAAAGCCCCCGGCUCAACUGGGGAGGGUCACGCGAUACUGUUCGACUCGAAGGCAGGAGAGGGAAGUGGAAUUCCCGGUGUAGUGGUGAAAUGCGUAGAUAUCGGGAGGAACACCUGUGGCGAAAGCGGCUCACUGGACCACAACUGACGCUGAGGCGCGAAAGCUAGGGGAGCAAACAGG
rnacentral:rRNA from 1 species